CGCCUUUUGAUUUAUUAAUAUAAAAGGUCCUGCCUGCCCAGUGACAUUUGUUCAACGGCCGCGGUAUUAUGACCGUGCAAAGGUAGCGUAAUCACUUGUCCUUUAAAUGAAGACCAGUAUGAACGGCAAGACGAGAGCCUAACUGUCUCUCCACACUAGUUAAUGAAGUUGAUUUUUCCGUGCAGAAGCGGAAAUAAUAUUAUAAGACGAGAAGACCCUGUGGAGCUUUAAGUAAAAACUAGUUAUUUAAUAUAAUAUGGCUAAAACUUUAGGUUGGGGCGACCGUGAGGUAAAAUUAAUCCCUCAAGAUAAAAUAUUAGAAAGACACUUCAAACAAACAAAAUAUUGAUAUAUUGACCCAAAAAUUGAUCAACGAACCAAGUUACCCCAGGGAUAACAGCGCAAUCCACUCACAGAGUCCUUAUCGACGAGUGGGUUUACGACCUCGAUGUUGGAUCAGGACCCCCAAAUAAUGUAACAAUUAUUAAAGGUUCGUUUGUUCAACGAUUAAAGUACU
rnacentral:rRNA from 1 species